rnacentral:rRNA from 1 species
AUUGAACGCUGGCGGCAGGCCUAACACAUGCAAGUCGAGCGGAUGAGGGCCGCUUGCUCCUGGAUUCAGCGGAGGGCGGGUGAGUAACGCCUAGGAACUUGCCUGGUCGUGGGGGAUACCGUCCGGAAACGGGCGCUAACACCGCAUACGUCCCGUGGGAGAAAGUGGGGGUUCUUCGGACUCCACGCUAUCAGAUGAGCCUAGGUCGGAUUAGCUAGUUGGUGGGGUAAAGGCCUACCAAGGCGACGAUGCGUAACUGGUCUGAGAGGGGGAUCAGUCACACUGGAACUGAGAGGCGGUCCAGACACCUACAGGAGGCAGAAGUUGCGAAUAGAGGACGAAGGGCGAAAUCCUGAUCAAGCCGUGCCGGGUGGAUGAAGAAGGUCUUCGUAUGGGAUAGCAGCUUUAGUGGGGAGGACGGGUAGUAAGAGGAUACCAUGCUGUGGUGACGGUACCAACAGAAGAAGCACCGGCUAACUACGUG